UCUGGUUCGGUACAAAACUUUCUCGAUGAUAAGCUCGAUUAUUUGUUUGUUUUUCCGCGAUUUCCGCGAUAAAAUGCUAAAUAAUUUAUAAAGUGACCAUGGUGACCAUCCACCACGACUUCAGGAACAUCGCCAGCAAUGGUUUUCAUAUAUCGACGCAGCGGAAGACUCACGGUGGAUCCCAGGCAUUACCAUUUAGGUCGGAUCCGUGCGUUUCGUACGAAGCAAAUGAAGAAUAUGCCCAGCAAAACUCCACGAUCGGUUGUCGGACUUCCCCAAGCUGGAUGAUUUGCAUGCGAGCUGAUGAACAGCAGAACGAUGGUCCUUACUGGUUGGAAUUACAGCGGUUCAUCUAAAUUUGCUUCAUCGUAGCAUAACAUGGACAUUUCCAUCUGAAUACUUGACCAUCGUCUUUUGCGCCGCUCGGAUGUUUGUUACUAGGGUAA